rnacentral:rRNA from 1 species
GAUGAACGCUAGCGACAGGCCUAACACAUGCAAGUCGAGGGGUAGCAUGAAGUCGCAAUACUUUGAUGACGACCGGCGAACGGGUGAGUAACACGUGAGUAAUCUGCCCUGCACUUCGGGAUAGCUUCGGGAAACCGAGAUUAAUACCGGAUAGGACCUGGCUCCGCAUGGGGGUGGGUGGAACGCUUUGGUGGUGGGGGAUGUGCUCGCGGCCUAUCAGCUUGAUGGUGGGGUAGUGGCCUACCAUGGCUUUGACGGGUAGCCGGCCUGAGAGGGUGACCGGCCACACUGGGACUGAGACACGGCCCAGACUCCUACGGGAGGCAGCAGUGGGGAAUAUUGGACAAUGGGCGGAAGCCUGAUCCAGCAACGCCGCGUGAGGGAUGACGGCCUUCGGGUUGUAAACCUCUUUCAGCACAGACGAAGCUCUUUGGGGUGACGGUAUGUGCAGAAGAAGCACCGACCAACUACGUGCCAGCAGCCGCCGUAAGAC